AGGUUUUAACUCCAAACCACCUACAAAAUAUUUUGUCAAUCCCUGAAAAUAUUAUUUUAUGAUCUUCAUUCACAACACGCUUCUAAAUUGCGUAAUAUAUCUUUGGCAGCCAUUUCAAUUCACUUGAACGCUAAUUUCAGCAAACUACGGAGAAAUUCGAACACUUUCCAUAAUUUCUAUGAAACAGAAGUACAUAGAUCGAACAAUUUUUUGAUAUUUUGUAGAUUUUGAGUGUUGAAAGCAAAUGUAAUCGUAAACAUUGCUAAAUAUUCAUGCAUUAUUGUGUAUGACCAGAAUUAGGAUGUGGGUUGACAUUAUCCCAUGGCCUUAUUAGAGUUUAACUGUGUGGGAGCUAUUUUUCCCAUGGCCCGGUAAAUUGUCUUGUCAUGUCAUAAAAACUCACGUAAGUAAUAAAACAGUUUUUGUUGAUUGAUAUAAUGGUUCGUAGGAGAUUUGGAGUUAAACCUUGACUAUUAUAACCGAUAUAAGAUGUGGGUGGAAUAUAUCCCUUGGCCUGAUCAAGAAUAUAAUAAGACAAAAUCUAGUAUGACAGUUCAUUACU